AAUAAGUGCAGCUUUCAUGUCUGACGUUUGACCGUUUAUCUUAUUUGAAAACUUUUUACGAUUAAUAUUUUUAUUGUUAUUAGAUGAUAAAACAUGAAUAGUACUUUACGUGCGACUAACUUUUUUAAAUUUUCUCAUAAAUUUUUCAAAUAAAACGGAUAGUCAAACGUUGAACACGGAUUCCCACGACCACUUAUU
rfam:Oryza sativa (indica cultivar-group) chromosome 9, whole genome shotgun sequence.